rnacentral:rRNA from 1 species
GAUGAACGCUGGCGGCGUGCCUAAUACAUGCAAGUCGAGCGAACAGACGAGGAGCUUGCUCCUCUGACGUUAGCGGCGGACGGGUGAGUAUCACGUGGAUAACCUACCUAUAAGACUGGGAUAACUUCGGGAAACCGGAGCUAAUACCGGAUAAUAUAUUGAACCGCAUGGUUCAAUAGUGAAAGACGGUUUUGCUGUCACUUAUAGAUGGAUCCGCGCCGCAUUAGCUAGUUGGUAAGGUAACGGCUUACCAAGGCAACGAUGCGUAGCCGACCUGAGAGGGUGAUCGGCCACAAUGGAACUGAGACACGGUCCAGACUCCUACGGGAGGCAGCAGUAGGGAAUCUUCCGCAAUGGGCGAAAGCCUGACGGAGCAACGCCGCGUGAGUGAUGAAGGUCUUCGGAUCGUAAAACUCUGUUAUUAGGGAAGAACAAAUGUGUAAGUAACUAUGCACGUCUUGACGGUACCUAAUCAGAAAGCCACGGCUAACUACGUG